UGAAACAUGAAUGGGCUAAAGGAGUAUUAAGUGACAUUGAACACCUCACAGAAGGAAAAAUAGAAGAGGUAAUAAAUGAAUAUUUGAAGGACUUCAAAGAAGAUUCGCUUCAAGCCAAGGGCUGGCCUCCUUUCAUGUCAGCCUACAUACUCUCUAAAGCAGUGAUGAACGCGUACUCCAGGAUCAUGGCAAAGAAGCAUCCAUCUAUACAGAUCAAUUGCGUCUGCCCUGGUUUUGUGAAAACGGAUAUCAAUUACAAUCGUGGGAUACUGUCUAUUGAAGAAGGCGCGGAGAGUCCUGUAAGGCUUGUCCUGCAGCCUGAUGAUGGCCCUUCUGGUUUAUUCUUUGAUCGGAAAGAAGUCUCAUCAUUCGAAUGAGAUUAUGUUGUUCGUUGUAAACGUGCAGCUGAUUAUAUAUAUAAUCCUACGAGCCUUAGAAUAACAUGUACUAAUUAUCUUUAGUGAAAUACAAUUGUGUGUUGUACUAAUAUUCUUCUCUAAUGAUGUGUUGAGCUUGAAUUGAAAAUCAGAAUAUGGCCAUGACCCUAAUCUUUGUCAAUGAGUUUCCAGGAAGUUCUAUCACCAUUUUGUAUGUUACCUCACUCACUAAAGUAACAGGACUAGUUUAGUACCAGCAUUAUAUCAAUCAACUGCUCCUUAAUCCUUAAAGGGUCGUUUGAUUUGAAAAUUGUUAUCCGGAAUAACUAAUACCGGGAUUAGUUAUCCCCGGAUAACUUAUCUCACCAUGUAUAUGGGAUAAGUUAUCCCAUCACUAAGGGGAAAAUGAUGGGGUAAGUUAUCUCGGGUUAGAUUAAUUCCUCCAACCAAACAAAGGAAAAUGCAUUCUUUUAUUUUAUCCUGGGAUAAAAAUUUUCAAACCAAACGACCCCAAGGUUUUGGGUUGACUAUAUGAAUUAUCCGCUGCUAAACUGUUUUAUUCUGAUUUACACAACUUUCUUGUCAAACAACACAACCUACUUUAAGUGUCAUGUUGCUUUGACUCUCCAAAACGAUACCACUUUUAUUUUUAAUAAUCGUGGUAUUCGUGCUAGUUUGCGUGCACUUCGACUAAAUCCACGGGAUACCUGCCACCUCCCACCAGCAACAGGUAUCAGGUAACUCUGUCCACCAAGGUUAGAACAGAUGGGAAGAAAACAACUAGUGUUUAUCUUUGCUGGGAAUUGAAUCUAAGACCUCAUGGUGCUAAUCCCAACUUCAUUGAGCCACUAGACGAUACGCUUGGGUAAAACGAUACCACUUUUCGAGGACCUUGUUGGGAAAAACAACACACAUAAUUAAUAUUUGCAGUGUAUAUCAACACACAUAAUCGAUAUCACUUUUCGAGGACCUUGUUGGGAAAAACAACACACAUAAUUAAUAUUUGUAGUUUACUUCCUCCGUUCCAAAUUAUCCGUCCUAAAUUGAGGUGACACAUUGAUUAAAAAAAAUAAUAAAUAACAUGACUAGUUUAUCAUAAUAUCCCUAUUAAAUGAUUUUGACAUUUUAAUUUAAAGAAAAAGUAAUUAAUACAAAGGGUAAAACAUGAAUUUUUUUUUAUCUCAAUUGAUUAAUGAAAAAACAAGUAAAAUAAACAUCAAAUUAGAAAAUUUGGAACGGAUAAUUUGGAAUGAAGGGAGUAUAUAAUAGCAAUAAUUCUGUGUAGAUUACAUUGAGAAUUCACAUGAAAUUCCUUUUGAAUAAGGGGAAAAUCACGUAUAGAAAGUAAUUUAUAUUGUGUAGACGCAAGUACUGCAAAAAUUACUAUACACUCAAAAGAAAUAACUUCUUUUAAUUUUUCAUGUCACUACAAUAUUUCUCACUCAAUAUUUUUCCGCACCGACUAUUUCUCUAACAGUGAAUGCUUACAACUUAUGUCUUUUUUGCAAGAGACGCUCAAGUUUAUAGAUACAAGAUUUUCAUUUUUACAGAUUGGAGAUCUAAAAAAGUCAUUUCCUUCUAUUCUAUAUGCAAAUGGCCUCAAGAAAUCAUUUCCUCCCAAAAGUCAAGUUGACAUUUUUGAAUGUAGGAAGACAGGGGCGGAGCUACAGUCACCGAAGGAUGGUUAGAUGAAUAUCUUUUGUCGGGAUUUUUUUUGAGUAUAUAGAUUAAAUAUAGAUAUUUAUGGUUAUAUACAUGUUGUUGCACACCUUUGAUAAAUUAGAGAAGCAUAAUUCAGUGGUGAGGAGUGUUGGUCAAAAGUGUGCACUUUCACAUUAACAACCUGGGUUCGAACCUUGACAGGUAAAUUAAGCCUUAACUUCAGAUAUUUAGCUAAAUUGUGCUUUUACAUGGUACACAACUCUUAGAACAAGACUCCAUGUAGGCAGUUAGUAUUCUUUUCAAUUUAAUUUACUUGUCUGAUUUUGACACAGAUAUAAAAAUUAAGAAAACAAGAAGUAGAUGCUCAGCAGAUUCUCGAAACAAACAUUCAAAAUGGGGAAAAUGCAGACCAUCAUUUUGAAAUUCGUAACUAAGCAAGUUGGAAUAAUGGUCAAGAAAAGAAAAGUGAUUUGGCAACUUGCUUUUGUGUCAACAUGUACAGUGGUCCAUUUUGUGCCAAAUUUUCAAACUAUUUAACACAAACAAAUAUAAAAUAUGAAUAAUAGUCAAAGUAUGAAAAAAUUUAUAUUAUCCAAAAGGAAACAUCCAUCAUUAUUAGUAUGUACCAAAAAAACAACUAAUAUUAUUUUAUGACCAGCUAAGUCUAUCGCAUCUUGGGAAAUACGCCAAAUUCAUAGAUGACAGGCCUCAAAUUAAAUUCUAUUGUCCAACAAGGAACUACUGCUACUAUUUUUAAACACAAGAAAGAGGACAAACUUUACAUGAGAAAUAACGUAAUAAAUAGCCGACAAUACAUUAGCCUCCCUUAUUUCAUUCCUAACUAUAUCCAGUAUUAUAUAAUUCCAUCUACUAUAGUGAAAUAGUUCUACCAAACCCAAUGCACUGUUAGUUACAUAAGCCUGCUUAGACCAAAAAAGCUGGAUAUCAAGAAUCAAGAUCUACUAAUCCUUUCAACAAUGGCAGAGAAAACCACCAGCACAAGGUAACCUUAAUGACAUAGUUUUCCUAUGAUGUUAUUGUCUGUGUGUAUAACUUAAAUUCUCUUGAGCAUUUCUAAGAAAUAUGUGUUAUGAUCAGGUAUGCAGUAGUGACUGGGGGGAACAAAGGGAUAGGAUAUGAAACAUGCAGACAAUUAGCAAGCAAAGGUGUAGUGGUUGUGUUGACAUCAAGAGAUGAAAAGAAAGGCAUUGAAGCUAUUGAAAGGCUUAAAAAGGAGACAAACAUUACUAAUAAUGAUCAAAUUUUGUUUCAUCAGCUUGAUGUUAUGGAUCCAACUAGUAUUUCUUCUCUUGUGGACUUCAUCAAGACCAAAUUUGAAAGGCUCGAUAUUCUGGUAAGUACUAUUUAAAAUAAAGAAUACACAUUUGCUUAAGAUUUAGAUGUUUAGGAGUACUAUUUAUCACUCCGCCGUGCAAUCUAUAUAUAGAGAGAGAGGGGGGUGGGUGGAUGUUUUAUGUAUUAAUUAGUUGUUCUUGUGGUCACAAAUAUUCCUAGCUUAAAUUUGUUUGACGUAACAAGAAGUCAUUUAUUACUUUUUUUUUUUUCCGAUCCACCUAGUUUACUGAUUCAAUUAGUGAAGUAUAUAUUAUUCAAAUAAAAUGUUCAAGGAGAAGUAAGAAUAAUUUAGACAAACAAUCUUACAGGGGUUAUACAAAUAUUGAAAAAGGACAAAUAGUUGGCAUGAACGUGAGGGAGUGGUUUUAAUCUUCUUGGUGUGUACUAUUGAGGGGUGGAGUAGAAGCACCGGUCCUUCAGUCAACUUGAUUGUGCAUGUUGUUACCUCCCAUAGGACCUUCGUCAGCAAUGCAAAAAAAGAGCAGGAACAAGAGGUUGUUCUCUUGUAGUGAUGGGAUAGUUGAAAUUUCUCCAUCGUCAAGUUAAUCAAAGAUUUCGAUUGAGUUAAACAAAAAAGUCUUGAGCUUAUAAAAUUUGUGUUUGUCGUCCUAUUGAAUUUAUUUUUUAGAGUUUUGAGAUUCUUCUCCAGCCUAAUUAAGUUCCUUAAUUCGAUUCCUUUAAUUACCCUCAUCAACAUCAAUUUCACAUUCUUAAAAGAAAUGGAGAAAUUACGAUUGCUUUGCAGGUUAACAACGCAGGGGUUGGUGGAUUAAUGAUGGAAGGAGAUUAUGUUAUAUUAAAAGAUUUAAUAGAAAGAGAUUUCGUAACCAUUUCUACUGAAACUGAAGUAAGUAAGAUUUCAAUUUUAAUUAAUAUGUUGCACUAAAUUAAAUUUCAUCUUCAUUGUAUUAUAGAUUAUAGCUGGUGCAACAAUUUAAUUAAUUAUUUUUAUGCAUGCAGGAAGAGGGUGAUAGGAAGAUCAAAUCAAUUGCAGGUAUUGUUACAAAUUAUGAGUUGACAAAACAAUGCCUAGAGACUAACUACUAUGGUGCAAAAAGGAUGACUGAAGCAUUUAUCCCUCUCCUUCAGCUCUCUAAUUCACCAAGGAUUGUUAAUGUUGCUUCUUUCUUGGGAAAGUUAAAGGUAAAUAUAAUAUAUAGUAAAUUAAUGGAAAUGAUCUCUUUUGACCAAUUCCUCUUAAAUAUAUUUAGUUUAGCUUAGUCUAUAGUUGUUUCAAGUGUGAUUUGCUACCUUCUUUGAUUUCGUCAAAGUGCUGUAAUUUGAAGUGUCAUGGGUUCAAGCCUUUUGGAAAUAGCCUCUGACUGAAAUGCAAGGUCCGGCUGUGUACAAUACACUUAUGUGGUGGGCAAUUUCUCUACAUUUUGUUCAUGUAGUUAGUGUCCUUAUGAUAUAUAUCAUGGACUAUUGCUAUUGCGUAACUGAUCGUGUACAAUUGCGCGCUAACUAUAAUUUACUUAGUGAUUUUCGGUUUCCUUUUUCUCUACAGCUAUUGUGCAACGUAUGGGCUAAAAAUGUGCUAAGUGAUGCUAACAGCCUGACAGAAGAAAGGGUGGAUCAAGUGUCGAAUGAAUUUCUCAAAGAUUUUACAGAGAAUUCAGUAGAAGCCAAGGGUUGGCCAAGUUACUUCGCGGCUUACAAAGUCUCAAAAGCAUCGUUGAUUGCCUACACAAGAGUUUUAGCUACCAAAUACCCGAAUUUUAGGAUAAAUUCUGUAUGCCCUGGCUUUUGCGGUACAGACAUGACCGCGUAUACUGGGAGCUUAACUGCUGAAGAAGGGGCUGAAAGCUUGGUGAAUCUUGCUUUGUUGCCAAACGAUGGACCUUCUGGCGCCUUCUUUUACAGAAAGGAGGUCACUUCUUUUUGAACACGGAUGAUCAUUCAACUAUUAAUUGUACAUGAGCUCGGGGGAAUCCAGUAUAUCUAUCGAUGUAAGAAGAAUAAGAACUCACUCUGUCGACUGAUCAGAAACCAUAACCUUUAAAUUCCUGUCAAUUUUCUCCUAAAAACAUGAAAAUUAAAGGAUCUCUGUCUGCAUAAUAUGUUAGUAUAAUAAUCACAGGUAACUUAAUGUAUGUAAUGUGAGUUAAUCAAUGCUAUUAUUUGGAUAAUCCCAGGCUCCAACCAUGAGUAUUAACUAUUGACAGGGAAAACCUGCUACCUGCUGCCAAUUUCUUUCGCGAAAAGGCCCUAAAAUAUUUGUUGGAUGUAGCGAGCAAAAAGUUCACAUUGGUAACUGAAAAGAUUGAAAAGUUACAUAUAUGGCGUUAGAUCUCUUACUGGUGCGAGACCGUUUAAGGAAAACCGUGUGGACUAGGCGCAAAUUGGAUAAUAUCACAUCAUGUUAAGAAUAUCUUUAAGCUGAUAUAUCCCAACAAUAUUGUAAUCUGUUUAACAAAAUCACAAUCUCAAAGAACAUAAGCGUCUUAUUUCCUGUAUUAUUUUUAAACCUUUCAUGGAAGAAAUGGGGAACAAGAAGUUCAUAUAUUACCCGUUCAUGUGGAUCAAGAUGUAAAUCGCUAUUUAAUUUAGGAAGAUGCAUAGUGCGUACAUAAAUGAUAUUAAGUAAUUAAACAAAGUACAAGAAGCAGAUCAUAUGAUCCUCCAAAUAUAUUUGAAAUGUAAACUACAAGCAAACAUUUUAAAAUUAAAUUCAUUACGAAAUUAUUAUUAUAAAUUUAGGAAGAUGCGUAGUGCGUGCGUAUAUGAUAUUAAGUAGUUAAAAGAAAUACAAGAAGCAGAUCAUCAACAGAUCCUUCAAAUAUAUUUAAAGUGUUAACUACAAGAGAACAUUUUAAAAUUCAUUACUAAAUUAUUAUUAUAAAUUUAGGAAGAUGCGUAGUGCAUGCGUAUAUGAUAUUAAGUAGUUAAAAGAAAUACAAGAAGCAGAUCAUCAACAGAUCCUUCAAAUAUAUUUGAAGUGUUAACUACAAGAGAAAAUUUUAAAAUUCGUUACUAAAUUAUUAUAAAUUAGGAAGAUGCAUAGUGUGUGAUCAACAAAUCCUAAAAAAUAUUAAAAGUGAAAUUAAAGCUGCCGGCGAACAUUUCGAAAUUCGCUUCUAAUUAUAAUAGCAAGUUGAAUAAUGUGAAAAAAUGCUUAAUAUAUAAUAACUUAGCAACUUGCUUGCUUUUAAGAUCAGGACAAGACUAAUAUUACACAUGUAUAUGCUAACAUAUAGUCCAUCCUAAAUCAAAAAAAGCUCAACCUAUAGCAAGAAUCUCCAAAUCUAGAGCUACUUAAUAUAUAGUUCCAACAAUGGCAGAGAAAAUCACCAGCCUCGAAAGCACAAGGUAUAUAUAUGUACAAAUACAAUUCCUUAGUUGUUUCUUCCAUCUAUUUUCUUCGAUGAAGUUCUAAAUUCUACGCACUGACUUAAUAUAACAGAUCAAAAAUUAGCUAAUAUUGUAAAAAAGAAUUAUACAUCAAUGUGCAUAAGUUUCUUUUUUGGGUAUAUGAUUAUAUUAUAUGACCAGGUAUGCAGUGGUGAGUGGGGGGAACAAAGGGAUAGGAUAUGAAACAUGCAAACAAUUAGCAAGCAAAGGUGUAGUGGUUGUGUUGACAUCAAGAGAUGAAAAGAAAGGCAUUCAAGCUAUUGAAAGGCUCAAAAAGGAGUCAAACAUUAGUAAUAAUGAACAGAUUUUGUUUCAUCAACUUGAUAUUAUGGAUCCAGCUAGUAUUUCUUCUCUUGUGAACUUCAUCAAAACCAAAUUUGGAAGGCUUGAUAUUUUGGUAAGUACUAUUUAUCACUCCAUCCCAUCUGUUCCUUUUUCGCUUGAAGAUUCCGGCAAAAAUACAUUUUUUUAUUCCUGUUAAGAUUUUUUACAUGUAUCCCUAACUUCAACUCUGAAGAAAAAGUCUUUUUUCUAACUCGGUAUAUAAUUGUCAACUCGGUCCUAUAUAUUAGUCUCUAUGUUUUCCUUAACAACUCAAGAUGAUAUGUUUAAGAUCAUAACAUGAAAAUAUAUAUAUGUAAAUUGAGACGGUACAUAGAGGAGUACUAUUUGGUAUCCAAUUUAUUUAGGUGAGACUGCUUAGCCUCCUUGAGAUCUACAAAAAUGGGUAUUUUUUAAAAGUAAAUCCCCUAGGCAAGAUGUCCAGGACUAGUUUUUUAUAUAUAUAAAAAGUAAAACUCAAAAGAAAACAGUACAAGUAAGAAAUGUCUAUGUCUUGCAUUACUAAUUUUAUUGAGGCGUAAUAAAAUUUCUUUUAAUUAAUAUGCAUGUAGCAAAUAAUAAGAAAAAAGAACUAAAUAUUCUAUAAUCAUGACGGAGUUAAUAGCCAACUCUUGAUGAUAUUACAAAUAAUAAUAGUUAAGUAAUAAAAGAUUAAAAUAGGCAAGAAUGUAAAGUAAUUUACAUUUCUCUAAAAAUUUGAAAUCUUCAAGAAGAUGUAAAAAAAUGAGUGAACAGUCAUAAAUAAUUUCUUUUUUAUUAUUUCUUUUGUGCAUUUUCUCAUAUUGUUUGGAGAAAUAAUAAAUUACUAAUUUAUUUUUUUGCAGGUUAACAACGCAGGAAUUGGUGGAUUAAUGGUAGAAGGAGAUGUACUUAUGCUAAAAGAGAUAAUAGAAAGAGAUUUCUUAAUCAUUUCUACUGAAAACGGAGUAAGAUAUAUAGCCAAUAUAAUUCUAAUAUGUUGUCAAUAAAAAGAAAUAUGGAGACGAUCUUUUUGUCAACAAUUUUCUACAUAUAUACAUUUCAAAGAAUUAAAUGCAAUAGCAACAAUUUUUAUUACUAUUAAUUAAUUAUGCAGGAAGAGGGAGGUAGGAUGAAAUCAUAUCCUGGCAUUGUUACAAAUUAUGAGUUGACAAAACAAUGCCUAGAGACAAACUAUUAUGGUGCAAAAAGGAUGACUGAAGCAUUUAUCCCCCUCCUUCAACUCUCUAAUUCACCAAGGAUUGUUAAUGUUGCUUCUUUCUUGGGAAAGUUAAAGGUAAAUAUACUUUCUGUUUUGUCGAGCUCUACAUACAUUCAAUUUGAUCGUUAAAGGUUAGUAAUCUUUGUUUUAACCAACUUACUACUAUGGGAAUUUUUGUAAUCUGAUCAAUUCUUGUGCAGCUAUUGUGCAACAAAUGGGCAACAGAAGUGCUACGUGAUGCUGAUAGCCUCACAGAAGAAAAGGUAGAUCAGGUGGUGAAUGAAUUUCUCAAAGAUUUCACAGAGAAAUCAACAGAAUCCAAAGGAUGGCCAAGUUACUUCACAGCCUACAAAGUCUCAAAAGCAUCGUUGAUUGCCUACACAAGAGUUUUAGCUACCAAAUAUCCGAAUUUUCGAAUAAACUCUGUAUGUCCUGGCUAUUGCAAAACAGACGUAAAUGCAAAUACUGGAAGCUUAACUGCUGGAGAAGGUGCUGAGAGCUUGGUGAAUCUUGCUUUGCUUCCAAACGAUGGACCUUCUGGCCUUUUCUUUUACAGAAAGGAGGUCACAUCUUUUUGAACAUUGAUUGAUUCACAAAAUUGGUUUGCGUGUGUGGCAGAAUUCAAUCGUUUCUUAUCAAUUUUAUAUACAUUGCAAGAAUAAGUUGGAGAUGCAUUUUAAAACUCACUUGAAUUUUAUCGUUUAAAUUCUGAAUUAUUCACUACUGUUAUAGUGUUAUUUUGGAGAUAGUUAAUUAAAGGAUGUGCAUUCCUACUUCCUUAUUUACGAGUAUUUUUUUGCUGAUUUUUUUCAGAUAUGACUUCUUAAUCAUCUGAAUAUACUCUACUAUUUCAUAUAUGCUACUAGGAAUUAUAACUUAAUUAUACUGAACACCACCAAUAAUAUGAUUUCGUUUCGAAUAAACUCUUUGUAUUUAAAAUUUAAAACCAAUACUAAGGCAAAGGAGUGUCUUGAGAUAAACUAUCAUGGUGUGAAAAGAAUGACUGAAGCAUUUUUUCCACUCCUCCAAUAUUCCAAGUCGCCGAUGAUUGUCUGUGUAAUACGUUAGCAAUCACAGGAAACUUAAUAUACAUAAUGUAAAUGAUUAAGAUAGGUUAUUUAUCUGCCAAUUUGAUAAUUCAAUGCAAAUAUUACAUGAGAAGCUGACUGAAAUUUUCCUAACUACAUUUCCAGAACUUGAAACAUGAAUAGGCUAAAGGAGUAUUAAGUGACACUGAACACCUCACAGAAGAAAAAAUAGAAGAGGUGAUAAACCAAUAUCUGAAGGACUUCAAAGAAGAUUCACUUCAAGCCAAGGGCUGGCCUUCUCUCAUGUCAGCCUACAUACUCUCUCAAGCAGUGAUGAACGCGUACUCCAGGAUCAUGGCAAAGAAGCACCCAUCUAUACA
rnacentral:lncRNA from 1 species